rnacentral:tRNA from 1 species
AGGCUUGUAGCUCAGUGGUUUUAGAGCCCAUGUUUCCUAAACAUAAGGUCGAAGGUUCAAAUCCUUUCAAGCCUA